GACAGAGGUGCCGAGCGUUAGGCGGAAUCACUGGGCUUAAAGCGUGUGUAGGCGGAUCGUUAAGUACCUUGUGAAAUCCCACGGCUUAACCGUGGAACUGCUGGGUAUACUGGCGAUCUUGAGGUGCUCAGGGGCGAGCGGAACAGAUGGUGGAGCGGUGAAAUGCGUAGAUACCAUCUGGAACGCCUGCGGUGAAAACGGCUCGCUGGGAGCAAUCUGACGCUGAGACACGAAAGCCAGGGGAGCGAACGGG
rnacentral:rRNA from 1 species